rnacentral:rRNA from 1 species
AUGGUUAAUUAUAUACUUUAUAUAAUAAUAAUGCAGAUGAAUCGGCAAUGGAUGUACGGUCCCCGACUCUCCGGCGAGUUCACUACGGGUUUGAAAGAUUUCCUCGUAGUGGCAAAUGCGAACAAGCAGCAAGGUUUUAUUAUCUGUCCAUGUGCUGUCUGUAAGAAUCAGAAGGGUUACUCCUCCUCAAGAGACAUUCACAUGCACCUGCUUCGGCACGGUUUCAUGCGAAGCUAUAAUUGUUGGACCAAGCAUGGAGAAAGAGGGGUUAGAAUGGAAGAAGAUGAAGAAGGGGAUGAUAUCGAUGACAACUAUCAUGAUCAUUUC